UGAGUAACGCGUAGGUAACCUGCCUGGUAGCGGGGGAUAACUAUUGGAAACGAUAGCUAAUACCGCAUAACAGUCGACAUUGCAUGAUGUUGAUUUGAAAGGGGCAAAUGCUCCACUACCAGAUGGACCUGCGUUGUAUUAGCUAGUUGGUGAGGUAACGGCUCACCAAGGCGACGAUACAUAGCCGACCUGAGAGGGUGAUCGGCCACACUGGGACUGAGACACGGCCCAGACUCCUACGGGAGGCAGCAGUAGGGAAUCUUCGGCAAUGGACGGAAGUCUGACCGAGCAACGCCGCGUGAGUGAAGAAGGUUUUCGGAUCGUAAAGCUCUGUUGUAAGAGAAGAACGAGUGUGAGAGUGGAAAGUUCACACUGUGACGGUAACUUACCAGAAAGGGACGGCUAACUACGUGCCAGCAGCCGCGGUAAUACGUAGGUCCCGAGCGUUAUCCGGAUUUAUUGGGCGUAAAGCGCGCGUAGGCGGUUUUUUAAGUCUGAUGUGAAAGCCCACGGCUCAACCGUGGAGGGUCAUUGGAAACUGGAAAACUUGAGUGCAGAAGAGGAAAGUGGAAUUCCAUGUGUAGCGGUGAAAUGCGCAGAGAUAUGGAGGAACACCAGUGGCGAAGGCGACUUUCUGGUCUGUAACUGACGCUGAUGUGCGAAAGCGUGGGGAUCAAACAGGAUUAGAUACCCUGGUAGUCCACGCCGUAAACGAUGAGUGCUAAGUGUUAGGGGGUUUCCGCCCCUUAGUGCUGCAGCUAACGCAUUAAGCACUCCGCCUGGGGAGUACGACCGCAAGGUGAAACUUAAAGGAAUUGACGGU
rnacentral:rRNA from 1 species